rfam:Oryza glaberrima chromosome 1 Oglab01_0017_10, whole genome shotgun sequence.
UCUGGUUUCCGUGCCCAAUGUUUAACCGUUCGUCUUAUUUGAAAAAUUUAUGAAAAAAAAUUAAAAAGACAAGUAAUGCAUAAAAUAUUAAUUAUGUUUUAUCAUCUAACAACAAUGAAAAUAUAAAUUAUAAAAUAAUUUCAUAUAAGAGGGACAAUCAAAGUUGGACACGGAAACUCAAAGUUUGACCUUUU